rnacentral:rRNA from 1 species
GACGAACGCUGGCGGCGUGCCUAAUACAUGCAAGUAGAACGCUGAAGGAGGAGCUUGCUCUUCUGGAUGAGUUGCGAACGGGUGAGUAACGCGUAGGUAACCUGCCUGGUAGCGGGGGAUAACUAUUGGAAACGAUAGCUAAUACCGCAUAACAGUAGAUGUUGCAUGACAUUUGCUUAAAAGGUGCAAUUGCACCACUACCAGAUGGACCUGCGUUGUAUUAGCUAGUUGGUGGGGUAACGGCUCACCAAGGCGACGAUACAUAGCCGACCUGAGAGGGUGAUCGGCCAAACUGGGACUGAGACACGGCCCAGACUCCUACGGGAGGCAGCAGUAGGGAAUCUUCGGCAAUGGACGGAAGUCUGACCGAGCAACGCCGCGUGAGUGAAGAAGGUUUUCGGAUCGUAAAGCUCUGUUGUAAGAGAAGAACGAGUGUGAGAGUGGAAAGUUCACACUGUGACGGUAUCUUAACAGAAAGGGACGGCUAACUACGUG